GUUUAGUGUAAAUUGUCACAUGACCAGAGCUGUUUACUUCCUGGUUGCACCAUGAGAAGACGAUGGCUGCAUCAAAGCUCCCAAACAAAAGUUUCACCUUGAGUCAAGUUCUGGAUAUGUUGGAUCUAGGUGACUGCCCAGACAAGGCAUGCAAACAUUGCAGUUAUCCCUCAAAAUGAGAAAUAUGCUGUCCUCAGUGAUUGUGAUAGUGAUGGGUCAGAUAUGGACUAUGAGGGGGAGACAGGCCAUUUGCCAGCCAGGCUGUUGAAUGCAUAUGCUGAUCCUAUGCAAACAGAUCAUGACAGGAACAACGUUAUCAGUGAUGAUGACCUACCCCCCCCCCCCCUCCCCCCAUUGUUGAUAAUGAAGAGCCAAGGGCCUCUACCUGACUGAGAGGUCAGCCAGAAGAGCCAAGGGGAAAGCUGCAAGUGGUCAAAAAUAAAGAUUGAGUGUUCAAAUGAUCGAAGAGGCCUGCCACCGAUGUGAUUCCAAACCACAUAGUAUACAGCCCAAAUUUGCAAAAGUUUGGCACGAAACCACUGAGCCACGGAAGGAGAUCUUUACUGGCUGCUACUGUUAAAGAUCAGGCAAGAUAUGACAAAGCUUCUCACUGGCCAAUCAACAUUGCACCGGUUCCAGAGAUGUCGUCAUUGUGACAAACACACUACCUAUGCAUGUGAGAAAUGCAAAGCGCCACUGUAUAUUGAGUGCUUCAAGAUAUACCAUGGACAGUAGAAAAGGAGAUAAGAGUGAAUGAAAAAUGGCUGAAAAAUAGAAAAGUCGAUAAAGGAUGAGGAGAAGCAGUACAACAGACUCCAGGAAGAAAAGAAAAGUAGACGAAAAAGACAAUCAAAAUGACUGAAAUGUUUUUGGGAAAAAAGGUCAAUUGAUUCAAGACAUACUUUAUGACAGUAGGUCUGACUGAUCGUAGUUCAAAAUAGUGAUGCACAAACUAACCGUGCACUUGGUUCUGAAGCCUACCUCUAUGAUAUAUAUAUAUAUAUAUAUAAGCACUCAAUGUGCAGUGACGCUUUUUAUGUAUAUAUAUAUAUAUUAUUUUGUUCUGUGUAGGCCUCUACUUGAAUGCAUAUUAUACAGGCUACCUCUAUCCUAAAUGUUACCUUUAUGUUCAAUGUGAAUGAAUCACACGACUGCUAUACAAUUGUUAGUGAAUGUUGCACUAAAAUGUCACAAUGACAAUGUUACAAUGAAUAUUGCACUAAAGUAACAAUGUUACAAUAAAGUAACAAUGUUGAAAUA